UCUGGACGCAGCAAGGGGCACUGUGGAUGGGGGGCUCUCGCUGCUGCCGUGUGCUCAGCCCUGGCCACCUGCAGGGCUCUUGGGUCAGGUUGGCCCAGCCUGGAUCCCUGCACACAACCCCAUGGAUAACAAUCUGGGACAUGGGUUCUGUGCCCAGGCAAAACGCCUGUGGAAACAAGUGGGUGGACGUCAGCGUAAGGAGGCCAGUUUUAGGCUGUUUACCUAGAGAUAAUCUAGGAAACCUUGACAUGCAGAAAUGUACUUCCGUUCAGCUUUACACUGCAGUCUGGUCGUGUUUUUCUGGACUUUGUUUUACCCUUGUGAUCCAUGGCUUUGUCCACUUGGUAGCAAAAGAGCAUCUCCCCUGCAGUUUGAGGUUGUUGGCUGGAGGGAGCGAGCUGGGCUUUGCUGCAGCUGCCCUGAGGCCCUGAGGCCCGCUGAGCAAAGGGCAGGGAGGGAACCCCAGCCAGUUUGCUGGGGUGCGCAGACAUCGUGCUGGCGCUGAAAGCCAUGCUUGGAUUCUAGGGGAGGUAGGGCUUUUAAAAAACUCUUUUGCUUUCUUCCUAAUAUUGAUGAUGUGGGAAAAGUAGGUAAAAUUUAUUGGGGAGAGAGUCAGCACUUCCCCCGCUCUGCCCACCUGUUCAGAGUUUCUGCUGCCUUUCAUUUUCUAACGUGUUACAUAUGGAUUACAUAUGUCUUUCUGCAGCAGCUCUGUGGCUGGGAAAAAAAAAAAAAAAAAAAAAAAAAAAAAAAAAAAAAAAAAAAAAAACACAACAAAAACCCACAAGGAAAUCAAUAAACACCUGUUAUUCCCAGAUCUGCAGUUACUCGGGCUCAAAAGUGCCUGCAGGCAAAGCAAAAACAAGAACCCCGGGCAGGCCGGCCGCGCUCCAGGGCGGGUGCCGGUGCCCGUGCCCGUGCCGGUGCCGGUGGGGGUGCGGGUGCCGGCUGACGGGAGGAUCACCGCGGCGUUGUUGGAGGCACGCGUCUUGCUCCUGCUCUUUGAAGGGCGUCAUUCUGGCCGAGGGGAGCACCGCACCGUACCGCAAUUAAAAUGUGUGGCCAAUAACUCCGCGGGAUGCCGGCAGGUAGCCGCUUUUUAUAGCCCUGGGUAUCGUCAGAGACCUGAAAAUAAUGACUGAAGCUGGCGCUAUGAAAUACAAUUUCUUUAACUGUAAGAAAAAGGAAAAACUCAGAGAACUGUUAUGGCAUUUUAACUAACUUCAAGUGUGCUGCCUGGCGCAGCCGCCCCUUUGAUGUUGCAGCCGGGUGACCUGGCCUCCCCCGCCAUUCAUCCAUCACUGCCUGAAAUCACGCGCUCAGGUUCUCUCGCUUUACAGACUUUCCUCUGUUCUGCUAAUAAACACAACCUUAUUUAAAAUAACCAUUCAGGAGGCGUUCAAAGGGGAUAUCCGUAUAUGAAUUUUAGCCAGAGUGCAGUUUCUUGCUGCAAAGUCCUAAACUUCAAAACGCAGCACAGGAACAGAGGGCAUUCAUCUAAACACAUGGCGGUGGCUUCGUGAAGCGAGAGGCUCACAAAUCCCUUCGCUCUCGUGGUUUCUCUGUAAUCAGCCUCUGGGGAAUGUGUUUAAUUAUUUCAUUUCACAUUUAUUUUUACAGUGUCAGUCCCCGGCUAUAGUAAGAGCUAUCUGACUACAAAAGGUCCUGUUUGCUGUUAGCUGCAGUGAAGUUCCUAAGUUCUGGUAGUGGGUUGGCUUUGGGGAGCGAUCCAGGGAAGGAGCGUGUGGUGGCCGUGGUGCUCAGUGCACACAGUGCAUGUGACACAGAUGUGAUAUGGUUGUGCGCUUCAUCUCCUGGCCUUGGUCAAGCACUUCUAACUGCUUUGUUUCAGACAUGUUGUGCCGCAGAGGGAAAGAGGGCUUCUAAAUAAACUGGUAUCUUACUCUGGUUUCUCUGUAGUGUGCUAGCAGCGUGGAUGCAAACAGUGAUUGCCGUUUCAAGCAGAAGUGUUUCCCAGCUGCUCCCAGAGCGUGGAGCCUGGGCACUGCGUUUACCCGGAGAGACGUGCGUGCCAAACCCAGCCCAGGAAACCAUAAAGGAAAAGGUGAAGGAAAACAGCAGCACUGCGGUGCUGAACAAAGUGAGAAAUAGCAGUGGUUGAUUGCAUCAUGCUGUGUUGGCCCUGGGUGGUUUUACUGUGCCGACCUGCUGCCAUCCCCUCCCCUGUCUGCUGCGUUGUGCUUCCAGCAUACAAACCCCGUGCUCAAGGUGCUUAACAGGAGUGCAGCCAUAGAUGUGGGGAGGACAGAGGCAGAACUGGGGCACCAAAAUGUGAGGCGUCCCCUCCCCAUGUCUCAGCGCCUUCCAAGCGCCAUGGUGCCCUCACCCCGGGGGGCUCUGCUUGAGCCUCUUCCCAGGGCCCUUGGCAGGACGCUGUGUGCCUGAGUAGCACCCAUGGCACCGGGGCAUGUGGGGACAUGGGCAGCACCAGGUACCAGCCAUGGAACGAGGGCAGCUUACACAUGAGCCAAGGGAAACCCAAAACUGCUCACUGAGGUGGUGCUGAGGCUUGAGUAGAGGAAAAUCAGGAGAGGAUGUUGUGUGGUUUUGGAACUUGGGCCCUGUCUCAAGUUUAUUCUGCAUUCUCCUGCAGAUCCAUCCCCUUCGUAGGAACCAGUUUCCUAGUGUGUUGUCCAUAUCAUGCAAGAACAAAUGGAGUGGGCAAGGAGAGACUUCUGCUUGGAUUCAUCCCACUCUGUGUUUUGUUUUCUUUUGUUCUUUUUCAUAGGCUGUGUAGUUCUUUCAUCUUAGAUCUGUUUCUUUUUGUCCUCACUGUCUCUUUGCCUUCACCUUUUUAAAAUCUGUUUUAGCACAGCCCUGUUGCAGAUCACUGGCUCUCCAGGUCCGGCCCGAGAGCCUCACUUCCCGCAGUGCUCCGAGUAGUUGGGGCUCCCAGCCCGCAGGGGGUGAGGUGGCUGGUCCAGUAGUGGCCACUAACUAAUGUUUGGAAGGCUGUUUCUUAUUUUUUAUUUUUUAUUCACACAGAAAGGAGCAGAAUGAUAUUACUGGCUGCAUUUAGCACAAAUAUGCUUUCUUGGGAGGAGGGAACGCUGAUCUGGUGUGUGUGCGUUUCAGCUGGAUGUCAGUGGGGACUGAACCAGCUAACGAGCAGUUUCAGUGUUUCAGUGUGCUCUGUUUUAUCUGUUGUGUAUGGAGUAGCAGACAUGUAAAGCUACUACAGUAAAUUGCUGUAUGCAUUAUGGCAACAAUGUGGAAAUAUUUCUUAGCAGCACCAGGAAAAAAAAAAAAAGAAAAAACAUAUUUAAUUUUCUGAUUUCUUGCUGCAUAUGGAAUGGAAAAUAUGUUGCUUUAACUCUAAAAAAAUGCACAAUCAAUUCAAGGAAAAAAAAAAAGUACGAAAGAAAGAAACCCUUUACCAUAUCUAAUUUCAUUAGUAAACUAUAAAUGGAAAAUGAUGACGAGGUAGGGUUUCAAAGGGCUGGUAACCCGCACAUUUUCUGUAGCAUUCAUCAUGUGUUCUCUGCGUCCUGGCGGCGGCCCCGUGAGGCAGUGGGCACGGGGGCGGCCGGGAGCCCCAUGCCGCAGCUGCCCAGCUCCCGGCCACGUGGCCGAGGUUCGGUCCCUUUCUGCUCCGACAGAGUCAAACACGACUUCUCUCCUGGCUGGCUCUUGUUUUCUGCUUUACCCUUUCAUAGGCUCUUUCUGUUCCUGGCUGUAAAGAGGGUUAAGAAAGGAAUUGUCUCUAUUAUGGUAAUUAAACUCCCGGGAAACAGCCUCAUUAGACUAAUAAAGAGUAAAUAAAGCAGGCGAGGACACGCUUCUCUUCCCAGCAGCGGGGUCGCCUCCCUGCCCCUCGCCUGCUCCUGUGCAGGUUUGGGCCCUUCAUCCGUGGGCAUUCGACCCAUGCACCUUCCCCAGCAGCUCUGUCCAGUGCUGGGCAUCUCCUUGCCCAGGGAAGUUGGUGUUUUGAGCACUCACGGAAGUUUAUGGCUGCAUUUUGAUUCUCAUGAAAAGCAAACCCAUGUUGCUCCCUGUCCUGGCUGGGCAAGCUGCAGUACUGUGUACCUGAAAGCAGAAUCCCGUGCACGUCACCAAAUACAGGCACUAUUUGCUCUCAGGGUCUUAGGGCUUUGUUUUUUCACUCCUGUUAAAAAAUUCUCGUGCAAGGAAUUGAGCUGUGUAUUCUUUUCCUGUAUGCUCCAUCAGAACCAUUACUAAAGUUGUGCUCACCAAAAUUUCACAACGCCACCGCGGGCGAGGAGAGCGUGGUGCAGGGCUGUGGCGAGGUCUGCUUCACAGUGGGCAAGAGGACAGCUCGCUCACCGAGCACACCCAACAGCUGGAAGCGUGGAUGUUGUGUUUCUUGUUCCGUGUAGAAAUGACAUUCACAGCACACUUCAGAGCGGUAUUUCGCUUCAAAUGCUGACCCCAGCCGAGGCAGGGGAGCUCAUUGGAAAUGCACAUGUAGCUCUCUUGCUUUUUCAGAAAGCAGAUUAUGAAGGGAGAAUGAAAUUAGCAGUAAAAGUAUUAAAAUAUUGAUAGCAAUCAUUCCAUGUCCUGGCUUUACCAAUUAAUUAUUAAUUUUACCUUGAAGGUUAGUGUAAGAGAUGGACUUUGCUUUAUCAUGCCUUCACUUAGCAAGAUGUUUGACUAUAUAUUUUUAAACAUUAUCAGGUCUCUAGCAAACAACUCUCAUUCUGUAUGGUUAGCAGCUGGAAUUUACUUUGUGUGGCUCCAUAAAGUAGAAGGAAAGCUGACGGUCUGAAGGUCUGGGGGAAGUGAUCGCUGUCACCUCUUCAUAAUUCCUGUCGGUCUUUACCACGUAUGUCCUUUCUGUAUAAUACCUGUUGCUUUUUCAAGUAUUUUGAGGACCUAUGCAGUGCAAUAAGAAGAAAAGAAGUGUUUGUUUCAACCCCAUAAGCUCGGAACUGCAGGAUGGUCCGAAGACAGUGGUUG
rnacentral:lncRNA from 1 species